rnacentral:rRNA from 1 species
AUUGAACGCUGGCGGCAGGCUUAACACAUGCAAGUCGAGCGGGGAAAAGUAGCUUGCUACUUUACCUAGCGGCGGACGGGUGAGUAAUGCUUAGGAAUCUGCCUAUUAGUGGGGGACAACAUCUCGAAAGGGAUGCUAAUACCGCAUACGUCCUACGGGAGAAAGCAGGGGACCUUCGGGCCUUGCGCUAAUAGAUGAGCCUAAGUCGGAUUAGCUAGUUGGUGGGGUAAAGGCCUACCAAGGCGACGAUCUGUAGCGGGUCUGAGAGGAUGAUCCGCCACACUGGGACUGAGACACGGCCCAGACUCCUACGGGAGGCAGCAGUGGGGAAUAUUGGACAAUGGGGGGGACCCUGAUCCAGCCAUGCCGCGUGUGUGAAGAAGGCCUUUUGGUUGUAAAGCACUUUAAGCGAGGAGGAGGCUACCGAGAUUAAUACUCUUGGAUAGUGGACGUUACUCGCAGAAUAAGCACCGGCUAACUCUGUGCCAGCAGCCGCCGUAA